rnacentral:rRNA from 1 species
GAUGAACGCUGGCGGCGUGCCUAAUACAUGCAAGUCGAGCGAACAGACGAGGAGCUUGCUCCUUUGACGUUAGCGGCGGACGGGUGAGUAACACGUGGAUAACCUACCUAUCAGACUGAGAUAACUUCGGGAAACCGGCGCUAAUCCCGGAUAACAUGUUGAACCGCAUGGUUCAACGGUGAAAGUCGGUCUUUGUGUCACUUAUAGCUGCAUCUGCGCCGUAUUAGCUAGUCGGUAAGGUCACGGCUUACCAAGGCUACUAUGCGUAGCCGACCGGACAGGGUGGUCGGCCGCCCUGGAGCUUGGACACGGUCCAUGCUCCUACGGGAGGCCGCAGUAUGGAAUCUUCCGCAAUGGUCGAAAGCCUGACGGAGCAACGCCGCGCGAGUGGCAGCGGUCUUCGGAUCGUAAAAAUCUGUUAUGGGUGAUGAACAAAUGUGUAAGUAACUGUGCACGUCUUGACGGUACCUAAUCAGAAAGCCCCGGCUAACUACGUG